rnacentral:misc_RNA from 1 species
AAAAAUGCACUUUUGAAUUAUAGCAAAAGUUGAGGCCAAUUUACAAAUUCUGAAACCUGGCCUGAAGAAACACUUAGUGUAAUCCUAACCGUAGAUCAGGAACACCUCUCAAUUACAGUCCUCAGAUCUAGGGUUCCACAUACACGGAACACCGUUCAUAUACUUUCUUUAGUCUCGGCCUCUUUCUUGUGCCAAACUGCCAAUACCCAAACGAGAGGCUGUGGAAGAGCUCCGAAAAGGUGAAAAAUGGUUCAGCGACUCACUUACCGGAAGAGGCACAGCUAUGCCACCAAAUCUAAUCAACACCGCAUUGUUAAGACUCCUGGCGGGAAAUUGGUGUAUCAGACCACAAAGAAGAGAGCAAGUGGGCCUAAGUGUCCCGUCACUGGCAAGAGAAUUCAAGGGAUUCCACACCUAAGACCAGCAGAGUACAAGAGAUCUAGAUUGUCUAGGAAUCGACGUACUGUCAAUCGUGCCUAUGGAGGUGUAUUGUCUGGAGGUGCUGUUAGGGAGAGGAUUAUCCGAGCCUUCUUAGUGGAAGAACGAAAGAUUGUGAAAAAGGUUUUGAAGAUUCAAAAGUCAAAAGAGAAGCAAGCUUCAAGGAGCUAAAAGGAAAAGGAGAGAAUAAUAAAUCGAAGUCAUGUGAGUUGGAAGAUAUGCUACAGAGAAUUUUGGGGCAAUGAAAUGUAGGAUUUGAAUUUGGAGAUUGUCAAUUUUUACUUAUUUGAUACAAUUGAUUGUUUGUGGUUUUUUUUUUUUGUUUACUUUGACAAGAGAUCAUUUCCAACUAGUUUUAUGUGAUCGUUUGUGCUUCUGAUCACUUGGAAUAUCCUGUCUUAAGUUUAGUCUAUUAUAGUUACUGAAAUUUUUUAUGGUUAUCUAAAUAUGCUUUUAUAACAUUAUAG